AGGAAUAUUGGUCAAUGGACGAGAGUCUGAACCAGCCAAGUAGCGUGAAGGAUGAAGGUUCUAUGGAUUGUAAACUUCUUUUAUACGGGAAUAAACGGAUCCACGUGUGGAUUUUUGCAUGUACCGUAUGAAUAAGGAUCGGCUAACUCCGUGCCAGCAGCCGCGGUAAUACGGAGGAUCCGAGCGUUAUCCGGAUUUAUUGGGUUUAAAGGGAGCGUAGAUGGGUUGUUAAGCCAGUUGUGAAAGUUUGCGGCUCAACCGUAAAAUUGCAAUUGAUACUGGCAGUCUUGAGUACAGUUGAGGUAGGCGGAAUUCGUGGUGUAGCGGUGAAAUGCUUAGAUAUCACGAAGAACUCCGAUUGCGAAGGCAGCUUACUAACCUGUAACUGACAUUGAUGCUCGAAAGUGUGGGUAUCAAACAGGAUUAGAUACCCUGGUAGUCCACACGGUAAACGAUGAAUACUCGCUGUAGGCGAUAUACAGUCUGCGGCCAAGCGAAAGCAUUAAGUAUUCCACCUGGGGAGUACGCCGGCAACGGUGAAACUCAAAGGAAUUGACGGGGGCCCGCACAAGCGGAGGAACAUGUGGUUUAAUUCGAUGAUACGCGAGGAACCUUACCCGGGCUUAAAUUGCAACCGAAUAUGGCGGAAACGCCAUAGCUAGCAAUAGCGGUUGUGAAGGUGCUGCAUGGUUGUCGUCAGCUCGUGCCGUGAGGUGUCGGCUUAAGUGCCAUAACGAGCGCAACCCUUGCCGAUAGUUACUAACAGGUUAUGCUGAGGACUCUGUCGGGACUGCCAUCGUAAGAUGUGAGGAAGGUGGGGAUGACGUCAAAUCAGCACGGCCCUUACGUCCGGGGCUACACACGUGUUACAAUGGGGGGUACAGAGGGCUGCUACCACGCAAGUGGAUGCCAAUCCCAAAAACCUCUCUCAGUUCGGAUUGAAGUCUGCAACCCGACUUCAUGAAGCUGGAUUCGCUAGUAAUCGCGCAUCAGCCACGGCGCGGUGAAUACGUUCCCG
rnacentral:rRNA from 1 species